rnacentral:rRNA from 1 species
UCUUUCCUCCCGAGUGCUUGCACUCAAUUGGAAAGAGGAGUGGCGGACGGGUGAGUAACACGUGGGUAACCUACCCAUCAGAGGGGGAUAACACUUGGAAACAGGUGCUAAUACCGCAUAACAGUUUAUGCCGCAUGGCAUAAGAGUGAAAGGCGCUUUCGGGUGUCGCUGAUGGAUGGACCCGCGGUGCAUUAGCUAGUUGGUGAGGUAACGGCUCACCAAGGCCACGAUGCAUAGCCGACCUGAGAGGGUGAUCGGCCACACUGGGACUGAGACACGGCCCAGACUCCUACGGGAGGCAGCAGUAGGGAAUCUUCGGCAAUGGACGAAAGUCUGACCGAGCAACGCCGCGUGAGUGAAGAAGGUUUUCGGAUCGUAAAACUCUGUUGUUAGAGAAGAACAAGGACGUUAGUAACUGAACGUCCCCUGACGGUAUCUAACCAGAAAGCCACGGCUAACUACGUGCCAGCAGCCGCGGUAAUACGUAGGUGGCAAGCGUUGUCCGGAUUUAUUGGGCGUAAAGCGAGCGCAGGCGGUUUCUUAAGUCUGAUGUGAAAGCCCCCGGCUCAACCGGGGAGGGUCAUUGGAAACUGGGAGACUUGAGUGCAGAAGAGGAGAGUGGAAUUCCAUGUGUAGCGGUGAAAUGCGUAGAUAUAUGGAGGAACACCAGUGGCGAAGGCGGCUCUCUGGUCUGUAACUGACGCUGAGGCUCGAAAGCGUGGGGAGCAAACAGGAUUAGAUACCCUGGUAGUCCACGCCGUAAAGAUGAGUGCUAAGUGUUGGAGGGUUUCCGCCCUUCAGUGCUGCAGCAAACGCAUUAAGCACUCCGCCUGGGG